CAGUAGCCACGGUAAUGCGUAGGGGGCAAGCGUUAUCCGGAGUUACUGGGUGUAAGGGGAGCGUAGACGUUUAAACAAGUCUGAAGUGAAAUGCCGGGGCUCAACCCCGGAGCUGCUUUGGGAACUGUAGAACUGGAGUGUCGGAGGGGUAAGCGGAAUUCCCAGUGUAGCGGUGAAAUGCGUAGAUAUUGGGAGGAACACCGGCGGCGAAGGCGGCUUACUGGACGACAACUGACGUUGAGGCUCGAAGGCGUGGGUAGCAAACUGGAUUAGAUACCCCAGUAGUCCCUGUCUCUUAUAU
rnacentral:rRNA from 1 species